GAUGAAGAACGUAGCGAAAUGCGAUAAGUAGUGUGAAUUGCAGAAUUCAGUGAAUCAUCGAAUCUUUGAACGCACAUUGCGCCCCUUGGUAUUCCAUGGGGCAUGCCUGUUCGAGCGUCAUUUGUACCUUCAAGCUUUGCUUGGUGUUGGGUGUUUGUCUCGCCUUUGCGUGUAGACUCGCCUUAAAAUAAUUGGCAGCCGGCGUAUUGAUUUCGGAGCGCAGUACAUCUCGCGCUUUGCACUCAUAACGACAGCGUCCAAAAGUACAUUUUACACUCUUGACCUCGCAUCAGGUAGGGAUACCCGCUGAACUUAAGCAUAUCAAUAAGCGGAGGA
rnacentral:misc_RNA from 1 species